rnacentral:rRNA from 1 species
GACGAACGCUGGCGGCGUGCUUAACACAUGCAAGUCGAACGGAAAGGCCCUGCUUUUGUGGGGUGCUCGAGUGGCGAACGGGUGAGUAACACGUGAGUAACCUGCCCUUGACUUUGGGAUAACUUCAGGAAACUGGGGCUAAUACCGGAUAGGAGCUCCUGCUGCAUGGUGGGGUUGGAAAGUUUCGGCGGUUGGGGGAUGGACUCGCGGCUUAUCAGCUUGUGGUGGGGUAGUGGCUUACCAAGGCUUUGACGGGUAGCCGGCCUGAGAGGGUGACCGGCCACAUUGGGGACUGAGAUACGGCCCAGACUCCUACGGGAGGCAGCAGUGGGGAAUAUUGCACAAUGGGCGGAAGCCUGAUGCAGCAACGCCGCGUGCGGGAUGACG